rnacentral:lncRNA from 13 species
GUCUGUACAGUAACAUGCUAUAGAAAACAUUAGUGUCUGUACAGUAGCAUGCUAUAGAUAACAUUAGUGUCUGUACAGUAGCAUGCUAUAGAUAACAUUAGUGUCUGUACAGUAGCAUGCUAUAGAUAACAUUAGUGUCUGUACAGUAGCAUGCUAUAGAUAACAUUAGUGUCUGUACAGUAACAUGCUAUUGGAAACAUUAUUGUCUGUACAGUAGCAUGCUAUAGAUAACAUUAGUGUCUGUACAGUAGCAUGCUAUAGAUAACAUUAGUGUCUGUACAGUAGCAUGCUAUAGAUAACAUUAGUAUCUGUACAGUAACAUGCUAUAGAUGACAUUAUUGUCUGUACAGUAGCAUGCUAUAGAAAACAAUAGUUUCUGUACAGUAGCAUGCUAUAGAUACCUUCAGAUCUCAGGCUCAGUGCUUCACAUCUCUGUUUGGGUUUUGACUGACAGACGCUCUGAACUGGAGCACCUCACUCGACAGAAAGUUGCCCCCAUCCCUCCAGCUAAUUGUGCAACUUUUGCAAACGUUUUAUUGUCUGAGUGAGGAAAAAUCCUGUAAAUUAAGAUAACUCUAUGUAUUUUGAAAGAUGAGACGUUGAAGAUUAUAAUACAUACAGCUUUGAUGUCAAACAAGCAAGCCAAAUACCCAAAUGUCAAAAUGUGUUUAACAAGUGUAGAGGGAGGGACGACCAGGGAUGUUCUCUUGAUAAGUGCAUGGGUUGGACCCUUUUCCUGUCCAAAUGUAACAGGUUAUUGUGGGUGUCCGGGAAAAUGUACGGAUUAAAAAUGUACUGUUUUCUUCAGGAAAGUAAAAGUAAAAGUUGACAAAAAUAGGAGUCAUAAUCAUGGUUUUAACAGGAGUCAUAAUCAUGGCUUUAACAGGAGUCAUAAUCAUGGCUUUAACAGGAGUCAUAAUCAUGGUUUUAACAGGAGUCAUAAUCAUGGCUUUAACAGGAGUCGUAAUCAUGGUUUUAAUAUGAGUCAAAAUCAGGGUUUUCAGGGUUUUAAUAGGAGUCAUAAUCAUGGUUUUAAUAGGAGUCAUAAUAAUGGUUUGAAUAUGAGUCAAAAUCAGGGUUUUCAGGGUUUUAAUAGGAGUCAUAAUCAGGGUUUUCAGGGUUUUAAUAGGAGUCAUAAUCAGGGUUUUCAGGGUUUUAACAGGAGUCAUAAUCAGGGUUUUAAUAGGAGUCAUAAUCAGGGUUUUAAUAGGAGUCAUAAUAAGGGUUUUAAUAGGAGUCAUAAUCAGGGUUUUCAGGGUUUUAAUGAGAGUCAUAAUUAUGGUUUUAACAGGAGUCAUAAUCAUGGUUAUAAUAGGAGUCAUAAUCAUAGUUUUAACAGGAGUCAGAAUGAUGGUUAUAAUAGGAGUCAUAAUCAUGGUUUUAAUAGGAGUCAUAAUCAUGGUUUUAACUGGGGUCAAUUGUGGUUUUAAUGGUUUUAAUAGGAGUCAUAAUAGUGGUUUUAACAGGAGUCACAAUCAUGGUUUUAACAGGAGUCAGAAUGAUGGUUUUAAGAGGGCCCAUAAUCAUGGUUUUCAGGGUUUUACAGAGAGACUGUAGAAAGGUUAAUUUGGCUGGUUGGGGGUGUAAUGGUUUUACAGGGAGACCGUAGAAAGGUUAAUUUGGCUGGUUGGAGGUGUAAUUAAUUGGUAUAAUGACUGUGAUGUCACACAGACCGACUGAGCCUGCUCUGUGACACAGGCGUAAUUACACCGACUCGGUCACCAGGGGAGACUGACAUGGAACAUGUAAAACAUGUGUGUACGUGUGUUUGUGUGUCUUUGGCGUUCUGACAGAAUAAUCAAUAUUCAUGGAGUGACUGCAUGAUCUACAGGACCACUAAGAGGAUCCAGUCUAACACGUGAUGCUGUAACCUGAUGCAUAGGCUGUUGUUUUCUCUUGUAGUUCUCUGAGAGCAUUAGUAGCAAGGUUGGAUUGUAGCAGACUGACAGAGGGGUGUGACAGAGAAUUUCUGAGAACAACAGAUAGACUGAGG